UCUUAUUAUUCAAUAUCUUUAAAUCCUUAGAAGCUGGAAUGAUCUGAUUCAGGGACAUAUGAUCUCUUUCCUUGGAAGAGUCCAGGAGCCUCAAUUUUACCCAUGUCUAGUUACAUCAUUUCUCUUACCCCACCCUCUCUGUUAUAGAAAUUAUUUUGCUGCCCAUCUGGCUUUCUCAUUACCACCUUGAAUUCGCAUCGGACUUUCUCAUUACCACCUUGAGUCCCCAUAAGUAGUAACUACUUCAGUAGCCUUCAAGGAGCUAAGACCUGCUGGGCAGUCCUCCCAUGCCAGUUUAAACUGGGUUUCUGCUGAGGACAUGGAUUCUAUGUUUAAAAACCAUGGAAAUGUGAGAAGCCACUGGAUGGAAAAGAAGGCCAAGCCUAAGUAGAAGGGGGUCUCCCUUUUUGGAUUGAGUCUAUGCCCUUUUAGAAACUCUGGGCUUGUAGUAUGGCACAAAGUGUGGUGUGGGCAUUCUUCUGUGUUUAUUUCAUAUGAAAAUAGUUUUCUGUAGAUAGUCACAGUGCAUUGAACUGAGAAAUCAGUCUUGGACACCACGGCGGAAGAUGUCUUGGCUAAGGUACAUGCUGGGCCCUCUUUCCACUGCCUAUUUGCUUUGCUUCUGGAUGAACUCCUUGAGAUAAGGGACAGUCUCAAUUAUCUUUGAGUUCUGAGGACCUAGAACCAUACCUGCUACACAGUUGGGACUAAAUAUUUCAUUGGAUGAAUGAGUGGGCGAUCAAAUGAACAAUUGAAUGAAUAUUCAUGUAGUAAGUAAAUGGAGACUAGGACCCUCCUGAUUUUCUCCCUCUUUAGAAGCCAGGAGAGAUGUUCCAUUUUGCUGUAUACUUCAAAGCCUUUCACUGUGUUUCAUCAGAACAAAUUACUUAUCCGUAUAAUCCUCCCAUGCACAUAUUUUAUCUGGUGCAUAAGCAAGAAAUCACUUUAUUUAUUGUAAUUAUUUAACAAUUCACAUGUGCUUUCAAUGUCAUUUCUCCACUAACCAAAAGAACUAGACAUUUGUUACUUGAUCAGACUAGGUAAAUAGUAUUGCCUGAAAAUUUUUGAGGUGUUGGUUCUCACUCUUCUCCUAGCAUAGCAUCACCAUCACUACCUCCAAAGCGGCUCUCUGAAAACAGGUAGAUGGGGGUGAAUCACAGGAAACCUGAAUACCACUCACUGGCUUUAAAAUAUGUCUAUACGUAAGUGGUUGAGUGUAAUGAGGAUCUCCAUCCAAGAUAUAAUGCACAUGAUUAACAAUAAGAGGUCGCAUGUAUCCAGUGUUUUUAAAGUACCAGGCACUGUUCUAAGCUCCAUAUAUGUUUAAAGCCAUUUAAAAUUUAUAAUAACCCUAUUAGGUGGAGAGAAACCGAGGUGGGAGGUAUUAAGCGAACAUGCUAAGGAGUAGAUGACAAACAAGCAAGCUUAGAAUCCUUACCCUCUUGGCUCCCUGCACCGUCCCCAGAACAAUCACCCUAUACUGCAUGGCUUGGAAAGAGCAGCAAGCCUUUGCUGUAUCAAUCCAGUGAUCUCCAAACCCAGAGACGCACCUCCAGACACAGAGCUCCUAAAUGGAGACCAGACAACUACGACUCUGAAAAGAAUACUAAUGCAGUCAGCUUAGAGGUCAGGCUUAACAAAUACAAUUUCCAAAAGCAAUGAAAAAUAAAGGCUUUUCAACUUAGGAAAAUCCUCCUUGGCUCUAGGGCCCCAGUGUGGUAACUUGGGCCUCCAAUGGGCUCAUUUCUUCAGCACAAGACUAUUACAUGACCUUUAAAGGCUGAGAAUGUCACAGAAUAGAGAUCACAUUCCCUGGGCAGUUGAGCACCCAUGGCGACCCUCAAAAGACAUGCCAGCUGAGUUCACACAGGGAGCACAGUUUGGAGGGCUGGGGCCAUGCUGCGAUGGCAUUUCAAUGAAUAACCUCCCCAGAAAGUCUCAAAAAAAUAAAAGAUAGAUGAAGAGCCAAAAUGCAGUCUCUCUUCUUCCCUGAAUGUCUCUUCCCUGUGUCCUCUCUUCUUCUUACAAGGAUACCAGUUAAGGGAUUUAGGACCCUUCCUAACCCAGUAUGACUUCAUUUAACUCAACAAAUUAGAUCUGCAAAGAUCCUCUGUCCAAAUAAGGUCACAUUCUGAGGUUCCAGGGGAACAUUAUAUUUUAGAGGGACCCUAUUAUCCCGCUACAAGCAUCAUAAUAGCUACCCUUUGUUUUCUACAGACAAAAAAAAAGGAGAGGUUUGGAUCUGAAUUUUGUAUCGGAAACUCAAUACGAAUGUAUGUCUCAUCUUCUUAUAUGAGAGUGUAACGUGGAGCAUGUUGUGGUAUCUUUUGAACUAUCGGUUGUCCAUGAGAUAAAAAAUAGAAAGUAACUCUGUAUGCAAAAAUAGAAAUUGUCAUGUUUGUCUUUUGGUUUCUAGCAAAAUCAUGGGUUCAAUGGGCAGCUCAGUAGUCACCUAAUAUUCCUCAAAUGAAGCUGUUGACUAUGCUGAGAAUAAAUGCAGCACCAGCUAAAGGUCCAAUGAAAUACACCUGGGGCAUCUAGAUUCAGCACUUUGAUGAUCCAUGGCUCUAAUUUUUCUCUCCUGAGAGUGAGGAUAUGAUUGCAUGCUGCUUGGUUUGGUUUUCCAAAGAACACCUUUAGACUCUUUAUAUACUCAUAAUGGCAGGUGACUUGGUUGAUUUCUGUAGGUAGUCUAUUUACACAAUUAAACUAGACUAUCAUUGAGUCAAAGGCUCAUCUAAUUAGCUGGCAUAAUAAAUCAAACACAAGUAAUUUGGUUGUCCUCAAUGCCACAGCACUUUUUUAAGGUCACUGCCAAGGUGUGUGUAAUUAGCAGCUUGUCUCCCUGAAGGAAUAGUCUGGCCUGACUAAAUUGUUCCAUGGUGGGAGAAGUAAUUUGGCAACAACCUGCUGUGCAGUUAUAAUAAACAGCCUCACUGUUAUCUUCCAUUUUUUUUGCUGCCUAAAUGAUUUUCUCUCUCUCUUUUGGUUCUUAAAUCAGUUCUUUGAUUCAAAGAAAUUUGCCUUUUCAUCCCAUUUGCUUUAGUUACAUAUUUGAAGCAUCCAUCAACACUGUAUCUUUUUUCCAUUUUAAAAAAUUUGAUUGUAGUUCAUUUGCAAUGUUGUGCUAAUUUCUCCUGUACAGCAAAAUGACUCGGUUAUACAUACACACAUAACCGUUAUUUUCAGAUUAUGUUCCC
rnacentral:lncRNA from 1 species